UGCCAGCAGCCGCGGUAAUACGGAGGGUGCAAGCGUUGCUCGGAAUCACUGGGCGUAAAGCGUACGCAGGCGGCCAAUUAAGUUGGAUGUGAAAGCCCUGGGCUCAACCCGGGAACUGCAUUCAAAACUGGUUGGCUUGAGUGUGAGAGAGGGAAGUGGAAUUCCAGGUGUAGAGGUGAAAUUCGUUGAUAUCUGGAGGAACACCGGCGGCGAAGGCGGCUUCCUGGCUCACAACUGACGCUCAUGUACGAAAGCGUGGGUAGCAAACAGGAUUAGAUA
rnacentral:rRNA from 1 species